CUGGAAUUAUCAAGGUCUCGGAAAGUAUUAUCUAACAAAGUAUUAUCUCAUCCAAAAAUACUAAAUUGUUUAUCAAUAUAACUAAAGUAUAGUACCUCAACAAUUUUCUCACACUGAGUUCCCUUGCCUGCACCAGGUCCACCGAGAACGAACGCUACUAGCGGCUUUUUUGUCGACAUGACAGCCCUCCAAACGCUUCUAUACACUUUGCAAAUAUCUCAAUGUUACUAAAUUAACAAUACACGGUGAGAAAAUGGGCAAAACACAACAAUUUACAGUCAACUUUUGACAACACACUUUCACACAUCGCACAUGAAUAAAAUUAAAGUUGCCAACUUGACAAAGU